rnacentral:rRNA from 1 species
AAUAGCCUAACGGCUGAACCAGCAACUUGGAGGAAUGUAUAGGGAAAACUGGUAAAAUGUGAUGUACCUAGUAAUAUUAGCAAUAAAAAAAUAUGAGAUUAACUAAGUUAAUUAAAAUUCUAAAUAGAUUUUGAUAAUGACAUUAUUUAUAUAUGUCUUGACCAAGUCACGUGCCAGCAGUCGCGGUAAUACGUGGAAGACUAGUGUUAUUCAUCUUUAAUGGGUAUAUAGGGUACCUAGACGGUUAAUCAAGCUAGGAAUUAGUACUAAUUAACUAGGGUUUAAUAUAAGGAGGAUUGAGUACGGUGAGUGUAGAGAUAAAAUUCUGUAAUACCACUUUGGGAACUGGUAUAUGCGAAGGCAACCUUUUAUGUGAAAACAGACGUUGAGGGACGAAGGCUCGUGCUAAAGAAUAGGAUUAGAGACCCUAGUAUUUCGAGCAGAGAAUGAUGAGUGUCAUAUGCAAGAUUGUUUAUAAAAAAGUAUUUUGUGUAUAAAUGAAAGUGUAAGCAUUCCACCUCAAGAGUACCAUGGCAACAUGCAAACUGAAAUCAUUAGACCGUUUCUGAAACUCGUAGUGAAGUAUGUUGUUUAAUUUGAUAAUCCUCAAAGAACCUUACCACAACUUGUAUAACUAAAAGGAAUAUUAUAGUUACAAGCGUUGCACGGCUGUCUUCAGUUAAUGUUGUGAAACUGUGGUUAGAUCCAUUGAAUUAACGUAAACCCUUACUUUAUUUGUUAUAAAGUAGUUCGCCGCUAUAUUGGUAGUGAUAUAUGGGACCAAGACAAGUCAUCAUGACCUGAAUAUUGU